rnacentral:lncRNA from 1 species
AUGAAGGCCACAUUGCUCAACUCUGAAAUCCCAGUCCAGUGGGGUUUACUGAGAGCCGGUAUAUCUUUCAUCCUCCCAGCUCCUCCCUGCUCAGAGAAACCCUUCCUUACAAGGGUGCUGGCUUCUCAAAGGACGAGAUACUCCCCCACGCUGAGAAUGACACUUCCCACCAAGUGGAGGUUUACUUGGUUGAGCACCAGAAACCGAAAAACUCACGACUUUCCAAUGAUGAGCCUGACCAUUGUAACAGUCUUUGCAGAAGGAAAAUGAACAAAUCUUCCAAUGGGAAGAGAGCCACCUCUCCAGCGAUGAUCCCUUGCUUGCUUCCUCUCUCCAUGUCAGGAUGGCCUUGAGAGCACUGCUUUCCUCACACACACUUUUUCGCAGCCCACCAACCACUAAUUCUGCUACAGAAAGUCAAUUUGAAAACAAAGUACAGCAUGUAAAAGUCAUUACCAAUGAAAGGCUAGAAUGAAUUCACCCUCAAUUUGGUGAGAAAAGGUCAUUUUCAGAAGAGAGAGAUGAGGGGGAAGAGAAAGGGAAAUCACAAACGAAGGACAUGCCAAGUAUAGGGACUUCAAUGGGGUAAACUCACGCCGUAAAUGAGAGUUGAGAUUAAGACCAAGAAUGAAGACGGGGAAGGAGAAUUCAAGCAGGAGGCAGGGAGGGGAGACGAAAGGGCGUUAAAGACAUAAACAAGUUGUAUUCUGUACAUGUAUCCACACUGAAGAUUACUGUAAACUACAUGUACUAAUAAAAAAAUUUAAAAAUUGUGACUAAGUCAGGUAAGGGACACAUUAAUUCCCGUAACUGUGGCAAGCAUUUCAGUGUAAUGUGUAAUAAGUCAAUGCACUGUAUCUUACAUAGAUGUACUUUUAUUGUCAACUGUAAACUAU